rnacentral:lncRNA from 1 species
AAGAAUAAAGUGUAUUUUCAAAAUUCUGUCUGCUGUCUUUUUCAAGUUUACUAUCCACGGCGGUCACAGAUUUUAUUAAAUAGAGAGGGUCUGUAUACUAUAUCAAUGACCACCAUGGAUCGAUAAGUAAACUUAGAAUUGAAAGUAUAUACACUAUAUUUAUAUAGUAAUGAAUGUUCAUAAUAUACAGAUAAGCGCUAAAAUUAUUCAUGUGAACUUUUGAUACCUUUGCUGAAAUUCAACUGUCAUUAAAUCUUUUACAAAAUUAAUUGAUUACAAAAAAAAGAAGAUGUGGUAUGAUUGCCAUGUUGAGACAACUCUCCACAAGAGACCAAAAUGACACAGAAAUAAACAACUAUAGGUCACCGUACGACCUUCAACAACGAGCAAAGCCCAUACCGCAUACUAAGCUUUAAAAGGCCCCGAACUGAAAAUGUAAAACAAUUCAAACCAGAAAACUAGCGGCCUUAUUUUUGUACAAAAAAUGAACAAUAAAACAAAUAUGUAACACAUAAACAAACGACAACCACUGAAUUACAGGCUCCUCACUUAAAUGUCCAUAACAUAC